GCUGGGCAUGGUGGCACAUGCCUGUAGUCCCAGCUACUCAGGAGGCUGAGGUGGGAGAAUCACUUGAGCCCAGGAGGUCCAGGCUGCAGUGAGUGGAGAUCACACCACUGCACUCCAGCUUGGGCAACAGAGUGAGUUCCCUACCUCAA
ensembl:misc_RNA Metazoa_SRP Metazoan signal recognition particle RNA